rnacentral:rRNA from 1 species
AGGACGAACGCUGGCGGUGUGCUUCACACAUGCAAGUCGAACGGGGUAGCAAUACCCAGUGGCGGACGGGUGAGUAACACGUGGGAAUCUGCCUUUAGAUGGGGGAUAACUGACCGAAAGGUUAGCUAAUACCGCAUAUGCCGCAAGGUAAAAGGAGCAAUCCGUCUGAAGAUGAGCCCGCGUCCGAUUAGCUAGUUGGUAGGGUAAAAGCCUACCAAGGCUACGAUCGGUAGCUGGUCUGAGAGGAUGAUCAGCCACAAUGGGACUGAGACACGGCCCAUACUCCUACGGGAGGCAGCAGUGGGGAAUUUGUGCAAUGGGGGAAACCCUGACACAGCGACACCGCGUGAGCGAAGAAGCCCCUUGGGGUGUAAAGCUCUGUCGACAGGGACGAAAAAAAUGACGGUACCUGUAGAGGAAGCAUCGGCUAACUACGUGCCAGCAGCCGC